CCCCUAGACGUUCUGGGCUGCACGCGCGCUACAAUAAUACGCACAGCGAGUAUCACCGAGCUCGAAAGGGCAAGGUAAACAAUAGAAAAGGUACUGUAAUGGUUAUAGAUCCUUGUAAUUAUUGAUCUUCAACGAGGAAUUCCUAGUAAGUAUGUGUCAUCAUCACGCACUGAUUACGUCCCUGCCCUUUGUACACACCGCCCGUCGCUCCUACCGAUUGAAUGGUCCGGUGAAGCGUUCGGACCGUGGCCUUUGGACGGUUCGCCGUCUGUUGGCUGCGGGAAGUUCGUUAAACCUUAUCAUUUAGAGGAAGGAGAAGUCGUAACA
rnacentral:rRNA from 1 species